rnacentral:piRNA from 2 species
UUCUGGUGUGUCUGAAGACAGCGACAGUG